GAUGAACGCUGGCGGCGUGCCUAAUACAUGCAAGUCGAGCGAACAGACGAGGAGCUUACUCCUCUGACGUUAGCGGCGGCCGGGUGAGUAACACGUGGAUAACCUACCUAUAAGACUGGGAUAACUUCGGGAAACCGGAGCUAAUACCGGAUAACAUAUUGAACCGCAUGGUUCAACAGUGAAAGACGGUCUUGCUGUCACUUAUAGAUGGAUCUGCGUCGCAUUAGCUAGUUGGUAAGGUAACGGCUUACCAAGGCAACGAUGCGUAGCCGACCUGAGAGGGUGAUCGGCCACACUGGAACUGAGACACGGUCCAGACUCCUACGGGAGGCAGCAGUAGGGAAUCUUCCGCAAUGGGCGAAAGCCUGACGGAGCAACGCCGCGUGAGUGAAGAAGGUCUUCGGAUCGUAAAACUCUGUUAUUAGGGAAGAACAAAUGUGUAAGUAACUAUGCACGUCUUGACGGUACCUAAUCAGAAAGCCACGGCUAACUACGUG
rnacentral:rRNA from 1 species